GUGCCUGGCUCCCUGUAUGCC
rnacentral:miRNA from 1 species